rnacentral:rRNA from 1 species
CACGGGGGGAGCAAGCGUUGUUCGGAAUCACUGGGCGUAAAGGGCGUGUAGGCGGUCAGGUUAGUGAGAUGUGAAACGCCCCGGCUCACCCGGGGACCUGCAUCUCAAACUGCCUGGCUUGAGUAUGGGAGAGGAUGAGGGAAUUCCUGGUGUAGCGGUGAAAUGCGUAGAGAUCGGAAAGAACACCAACGGCGAAAGCACUCUGCUGGGCCGACACUGACACUGAGAGACGAAAGCUAGGGGAGCGAAUGGG